rnacentral:lncRNA from 1 species
AUGGUGAAGGUUGGAGUAAACGGAUUUGGCCAUAUCAGGUGCCCGGUCACCAGGGCUGUUUUUAUCACUAUCACAGUGGAUACUGUUACCAUCAAUGACUCCUUCACUGGUCUCAACUUUAUUGUCUAUAUGUUCUAGUAUGAUUUUAUCUAUGUCAGGUUCAAUGACACAGUCAAGGCUGAGAACAGGAAGCUUGCCAUCAAAGGGAAGCCCAUGUCUAUUUUCCAGGAGUGAGAUCCCACUAUCAAAUAGGGUGAUGUUGGUGCUGAAUAUGUUGUGAAGUUCACUGGGGUAUUCAGUAUCUUGAAGAAGACUGAUGAUCAUUUGAGGGGUGGAGCCAAAGCGGUCCUCAUCUCUGCCUCAUCUGCUGAUGCCCCAUGUUUGUGAUGAGUGUGAACCAUGAGAAACAUGGCGUUUCCCUCAAGAUCUUCAGCAAUGUCUCCUGUACCACAAACUGCCUAGCACCCCUAGCCAAGUUCAUUCAUGACAACUUUAGCAUUAUGUUGGAACUUAUGACCACAUUCCAUGCCAAUACUACCACCCAGAAGACACUCUGGGAAACGGUGGCAUGACACCUGUGAGACUGCUCAGAACGUCAUUCCUGCAUAUACUGUUGUUGCCAAGGCUGUGGACUAAGACAACCCUGAGCUGAAAGGAAAGCUCACUGACAUGCACUUCUGUAUCCCCACACCCAGUGUGUUGGUUGUGGAUCUGAUCUUUCAUCUGGAAAAGCUGCCAAAUAUAAUAGCAUCAAGAAGAUGGGGAAGCAUGAAUUAUAGGGCACCCAGAAGGCAUCCUGGGCUAAGCUGAAGAAGAUCAGGUUGUCUCCUGUAGCUUUAAAAGUAAAACCCACUCUUACACCUUCAAUGUUUGAGCUGGCAUUUUCUUCAACAACUAUAUCAUUAAGUUCAUUUCCUGAUGUUACAGUGAAUUUGGCUGUAGUAAUAAGGUGGUGGACCUUGUGGCCUACCUGGCCUCCAUGAAAUAA